UUUCUCCUUACAGGUAAAAGUGCUGGUGGAAUCCAGGGUGAACAUUGUGUUUUCUCUGGGCCAACAUCAUCCAUAGGAGCAGAAGUUGUAGAGCAGUUCACAGGUGUUCCACCUGCUGCCAGAAUAUAUCCUCAUUCUUCCCGAAAGUGAGGAUCACAUGAACCUUUCUUCCUUCUUUCCUUCCUUCUCCCUCCCCCCUUCCCUCUCUCCAGCUCUUUCUGCUUUAGAUUUUGACCAAUGCAAAUGUUAGAGAACUCUCUGAAGUGCAAAACAAAAAAGGCAAGUUUGUGUGCAGAGCAGGCCUGGCUGUCCCACACUGGCCAGAGCGUGCUUCCUCUCUCUGUCCCUCUUCAGUAAGAGCGGGACAGAAAGCUUGCAGGUGUUUCCUGACCUUCUAAUCAGAUCCUCAGUGAAAGGCAGCCUUUUAUCCCGUGUGGAUAAUUUCACAAGGUUACUCUUAAGGUUUUUUUGGUUUUUUUUUUUUUUUAAGGAAAAGAACUUAGAGGAUUUCCUGUAUAUACACAAAUAUUUAAUCUGUUACCUUGUAAUGCACCUCUAAGUACAAGAUUUGAGAUGCUACAAGGAUUUGAAGCACAUUUUUACUAGUUUGUCUUUUGUUGCAUUUGAGUUGGUAUUUUCUUUGGACAUGUGGUGACUUGGUGGUUAGUGCUUUACUUCCCUAAGAAUGGUGGCUACUUGUGUUCUCUCUGAGCAUGCGCCCCUGAAAGGUGGGACUGUGAGGUCCUCAGACACCAACCGCCGUGUCCUCCCCUUGCAUCCCCUCCCCUCAAGCUUGGUCUGGAGAUGGUGGCACAGGGUGGGAUUGCCAUGGUGCUCUGCCGUCAUUUUCUUUUUAUUCUCCUGCUAGAGAUGAUGGAAGAACUAUCAAACACUUGUCUACAAAAUCUAGUCAAUUUUUGUUGAGAAAUCCAGGCCAUUUAGUAAUAACUGCAUUAUUUUGGAAGCAUUUUAGAUAAGAGUUUUCAGAGUCAUAAACCCGAGGCUUACAGAGAACUUAUAUAGAAUUUUGUCUCUAGUGGGUCACUUUAGAAUAUUUCAGCUGAGGAAGGGCGAGCAGGAGAGCUGAACCUGACAUUUGGAUCCCAGCUGCUGGUUUAGCACUUUUCCAGUCAUGCCAGGAACUAAGGUGAAGUCCUUGCUUUGGACCUUUAUGAUCACAGAAAAGGGGCAUUCUUUCCUGCCUGUGCUUCUGCUUCCUUCGUCCCACAGCCUGACAGCUGGGGAACGUUUGCUGAAGCCCUGUCACUGUCCAGCUUGACUUGGCAGCACAGGGUUAUUAGCUAUUUUCAGACACCCACAUCCAUACUUGAGAGCAGGUAUCCAAACUGGUGAUUAGACCUAGUUUUUAGGCAUCAAAACAUGUUUAAUAUUUCAUUGUCCAAGAGGAUUUGAUCUCAGGAAAUACCCCAUUCCUCCUUGGUUAAAAAAUAGUGUGUUUGCUUUUCCUACUGCUUUUCUGUUGAGGGGCUCAGCAGUGGCCUCAGCAUCUGAGCCUGUAUUUGUGACACUCGAGCAGCUCCGAUUGGAAUUUUCCACUUUGGGACAAUCACCAGAAUGUCGAGGCAUCAGAAGCUGGCAUUGGUGGCAACUUUUAGCACCAAGUGCACAGUGUGCCCCUGAUUAAGAACCAUUAGGCUGCGUCCCCAGGAGCGGAGGUUGACGUAACAGGAGAUUGACAGUGAGGCAAGCCCACUUGCUCCUGGGCAGAUCGGGUUAGUAAGAGGGUUCACAUGUGGCAUGGGGGCCAGGACAGUCUCAGAUUAGGAACAGCUCCCCUGCCCCUCACAGAAAGGAAGCCAGAGGAGGACAAAAUGGGGGCCAAGGCGGGAAAUUAUUUUAACUAUUAUCCCUUAGGAUUGUCACAGUUUAUUACUAAGACUGUAAGAAUACCCCCCCAACACACAGAACAUUUAACUACAAAGACUAUACACACUUAGAGUAAUGAGAAACAAAGCAGAUAUAUUUUACAUAACCUGUGGGGAGGAGGUCCUGGGCCCGGGGCCACCGUCUCCAUUGUGGCAGGGCUGCCCCAGCUCCUGAGGCCAGAACUGCUGCAGCGGGAAGAGUGGCAGCCGCACCUGUCACCACUGAGGGCGUAGAGCCAGUGUCAUGGCAGUGCUUGCUCCCAGCCCACAGGGACUGGGCUUGUUUAGCAAGGAAGGCUGCAAUAGUAGCUCCCUGUGCUGGGGCUGUGCGUGGCAGGACACCCUCCAGCCUUCCCGCCAGUGCCCUGUUGUCCACGUGACAUGUAGCAAUGGAGCUGAUACUUGAGCCCCCCAGUCUGUAAGCUCCAAAGCCUGUGCCGCCCUUGACCAGUAAGCAGGAAAUCUCACAGAAGUGGGACCUCAGGCUCCCACACAAAAGCUGGGGCUGGACCCAGCCUGGCUUGGGGCCCGAGAGCAGGCCAAGGGGUGGGUGUCUGGCCUACCAUUUGCGAGAUCAGAGUCUGCACUGUGGUGUAAAGCUGCUUACUCCAGAUCCUUACAGCACUACCAGGGUACACACGAAAUUCGACUGGCCUCCCAACACAUUACAUCACAGAGGAGCAGCUGUACACAGGUGUGCAUAAAUACAUAUACUGCUUCCUGGUAGGGCCUUUGAAAGUCUAUUUCAGUUACCACUGUGUUCAAAUGACUGGAACUGUAGCUUUUGCUCUUCCGAUUUUCAAAAGUUUGUGUAUGGGAGCUCCCCUUGUGGCAUGGGGGGUUACGAACACGACUAGUAUCCAUGUGGAUUCGGGUUCAGUCCCUGGCCUUAGAUUCUGUCCUUGCCGUGAGCUGUGGUGUAGGCCAUCAGCUGCAGCUCUGAUUCAACCCCUAGCCUAGAAACUUCCAUAUGCCACAUGUGUGGCCCUAAAAAGCAAAAAAGAAAAGUGAGCCUAUAAAAAUGAAUGAGGUUUGCAUUAGGGCAAAAGCCCAAAGUCUGGACAGAAACAUGACAUCAAAACAAUGAACUUUCCAAAUGUAAAGUUUGGGGGGUUUUUUUUGUUUGUGUGUUUGUUUGUUUUUACUAUUGGGCUCUUCUAAAACAUGCAUUUUAAUUAGAAUCCAUUCAAAGCAAAACAUCGAAACUGUAAUGAUGGAGUUCCUGUCAUGGCUCAGUGGUUAACGUAUCUGACUAGGAACCAUAAGGUUGUGGGUUCGAUCCCUGGCCUUGCUCAGUGGGUUAAGGAUCCGGCAUUGCCAUGAGCUGUGGUGUAGGUUGCAGACGCAGCUCAGAUCCCGAGUUGCUAUGGCUCUGGCGUAGGCCGGGGGCUACAGCUCCGAUUCGACCCCUAGCCUGGGAGUUUCCAUAUGCUGCGGAAGCGGCCCUAGAAAAGGCAAAAAGACAAAAACAAAAAACAAAAAACAGUGUAAUGACAGAAAUCUGAUUAUGAUGUUUUAAGUAACAGGCUGAUUAUAAAUUCAGGUGUUGUAUAGAGAGUCAAAGUGUUUAUUCCAAGGCCACUAUGAGUGGAUCUCUGAAAGGUUCUGGAGGUUUCUUUUACGCACACCUUGUUUUUCUACAUGUCCCUUUGAUGGCUUGAAGAGGGCUGCCUGAGCGCUUCCUUGUCCAUCUGCUUAGCAGUUGGUAGCUCUGCUCUUUCACAGACAAGCCAGAAAACAGAAGUCAGUCCAAAAAAGAGUGGCAGGGUCUGGGGUCCAGGGAGGCCCCAAAGUGCAGUGGGAGCUCCUCAAAUACCAGGCUGUGGAGAGGGCUCUGGGGCUGUUCUGUCCUAUGCAGAGUGUGGCCUGUGUGGAGGAUGUGGGUCUGGACACCUCCCUGGCUGGCAGUGCCUGGGCUCUCGAGGCUCAUGCCAGGCUCCUUGAUCCCCGUCACUUCAGCUCCAGCCUGAUGGACAGCUCCCUGGGUCAUCAGCAGCCUCCGGAGACUGCCCAGCACACACAGCCAGGGCACAGGACGGGGUCCCACAGGCCUCAUCAAUGGAGACAUCCCACCUCCUGUCAUCUCUCAGUGCCAUGCUGAGCCCCGCUGCCCAGGGUGGAUACCAGUGGGACCACUGACCGUCUCCUGCUGCCUCCUCCAGGACAGCUCCAGGUAACCUCCCUGCACCCAGACCUUCAACCUCAUGUGGACUCCUCAGUGUUUACUGAGCCCAGUCAGGGAGGAAUCUCCCCUCCUGUGUGGAACUUUCUCUGUGAGGAAGGCUUAUACCCAUCUUACCUUCACUGCGGGAUGGAAGUUUGGGGAAUAUUCUGUCAUACUUCUCAAAUAUCUGCUGAAUAAGAGAUUAUAGAAUUUAUUCCAGAGCAUAGUGUGAUUUAUCAGUGACUAUUUGCUGCUUUAAGGGAGAGAAAUCCUUUUUUUUAUAGCCAUUUUCUUCUUCAUAGCUUACUAAUCCCCUUUCCGAAACAAUCUUUAAAAAAAUCAAAUAAGUGUUAUAACUCAUAGAGUUAAAACUCAUGAGAGUUUUGGGUCCAUACAGUUAUUUAAAUGAACUUUAAGGUUUUACUUUAAGGUUCCUUACAUAUAGAAAUUCAAAAGUAGGAGUUCUGUUGUCGUGCAUUGGAAACGAAUCUGACUAGGAACCACGAGGUUGUGGGUUUGAUCCCUGGCCUCGCUCAGUGGGUUAAUGAUCUGGUGUAGCCGUGAGCUGUGGUGUGGGUUGCAGGCGCAGCUCGGAUCUGGCGUUCCUGUGGCUGUGGCAUAGGCCGGUAGCUGUAGCCCCAACUGGACCCCUAGCCUGGGAACCUCCAUAUGCCAUGGGCUGCCCUAAGGAGGCGGGGGGGAAAUAGAAGUAGAAGUCCCUGUUGUGGCUCAGCAGGUUAAGAAUCUGACUGGUAUCCAUGAGGAUGGGGGUUCAAUCCCUGAACUUGCUGAGUGGGUUAAGGAUCCAGUGUUGCCACAAGCUGCGGCACAGUUUACAGAUGCAGCUCUGAUUCAACCCCUUAGCCUGGGAACUUCCAUGUGCUGCAGGUGCAGCC
rnacentral:lncRNA from 1 species